AUAAAUUUGAAGAAAUUAACUAACUUUCUAUGCAUCUGGACGAAGAGCGUGUGGCUGGAUGUGCUUAUUCUGUCUAUGCAAGUCUUCCUGCAGGUUGGUGUUUAAGCUAUACUUGUGUGAAUCGAGACCGCCAUCCCAUGGUUGCUCUCAGAUUUGUUCUCAGAGAGAUAAAUGGCUGUUACCCCCCGCCCACCUUUCUUUACAGGGUGGUUGUACUGAAACAAAAGACCACGUCCUUCAUAUAUUCAGUGCUGUGUUUUGACAUGCUGUGUAUUGAGUUAAACCUCUUCCCAGCUGCCAAAAACCUUCAACUUCACUUACCUAUGGCACGUAACUUUCAGUGCUCUGAAAAGUUAUCGAAGGGCAGGAGGGCACAGGAAAAGAAUAAAACAAAGAGAUUUUACAGCCAGACUACAGUGAACCUGCAGUAUAGUUAUACUGGUACCAUAAAGGAAUCAUUUUGGAUGCUGCUACUUUUGUUUGCCAAGGUAAAUGCUAUAGCAGAGCUAUGGCCAAAUGAAUUCCUGAAAGUAAUCUUUAUUUGGUAAAGAGACAAACUAUGAUGCUACAGUAAUUUUGUAUUGCAGUACUUCACUAUGCUGUAGUUUCUCACAGGGGAGGGUUGAAUACCUAAUGUUGUUUAGGGAGCCGUGAUAGCUUUUACAUUUUUACAGAUGCUUUCUAAAAUAAGCUAACAUCACCUGCUUGUUUUCCAAGCAUUCUCUGCAGAAUGGCUUUAGUGCACUCUUAACACAACAGUUUCUGUCUUCAGAAGGAAUCCUCAAAGUAAAUCCUGGCAAUGGGAGAGAAGGACAGAAUAGCUUUCUGUUUCUGAAAGGGAAAUAGCUGUUUGCUUGAGACUACUUACUGGUAUGUGUCCCACUUGAAAUGUUGAGUGCUCCUGCCAAGUUUUACAGGGUGUUUAUUUAAUAUGAGUUUCUGCUGAAUGUGUAAAUUUUCUUGACUACGUUGUGCCUGACAUAUCCAUAUGUGAAACUUAAGAGGGCUGGUCUGCACAGGAACAAUCCAUAAAUGUAAGGAAAUUGGCUGAACACAUAAAGUCAAUACACCUAAAUUACUCUAUCUUAAACUCUCCUGCGGAUAAUUUCUUUCUGGAGUAGAGUGAUUUCAUUUUAUUGCAUAGUAAGCCAAAAGGUAAAAUUACUUCACAACUGAAUGAGAACAUCCACGCUGUGUAACUGACUGUAAUUGAGGGUGUUUGCAAACAUCCUCUGGUUAAUCUACAUUCUGGUUAAACUGAGCUAAGAAACCUGCUUCCCAAAACAAACCGUCAUCAUUCAGAAGGCAAAGGCUGCUGCCUUUACCUAUACAGCCAGCUAUCUAAGGACUCUGUCCUGUUUCAGUACAAAUUUAGGCAAACCGCAUUAAUAAUUAUUAAUAACUAAGUCACAUAAUUUGCUUAGAAGCUUUGAAGAAGUGCUCUACUGGCUGAAUUGGUAGAAUAAUGUGCAUUAGGUGAUGUAGCAACUAUCAGCUGACAAAGCAGGAGAUAAAAAAUUUUGUGCUGCUGUGAAUGAAGGUGAUUUUCUUCAUUCUCCAUUGUUCUUUUGUUUUCACUAUCGCCGCGUGGUCCGAACCAGAACUGACAGCAUCCUCUCCUUAUCAUUUACCAAAAUUCCUUGAAACUCAUCUUGUUCAUUUCGCUUUGGGUUAUCUUGAAAAAUGCUAUUGCAAAUGUGAUUAACUGUGCUCCUAAAACGGAAUUCUUUUCUUCAGAAUAUGAUGUCAUUCUUCAGUGCUGCUUAGAUGUAGGAGAAUUAGAAGGACAUUGAGUGCAGUUAAUUCCAUUGAUUGUUAACAGCACAAAUGAUACAAUCUAUUUAUUGUAUUCUUCACCUGGUUCAUGGCCAUAGCCUUGCUUAAAUAUGGUAAUAUUUCUAACACCUACACCCAUCCAGUGAUCAGGAGCCAUUGUGCUUUAGGUCAAAAAUAGGUUCCCACAUCUGACAUCCUGAAUAUGUUGUUUAUUGUUGUUGUAUAUGAAGCAGGUACAGACAGGCCAGGACAAUAAUUACAUUUAUUAAUAGUCAAAUUUUAUCCAGAUAUGGAAUUUGUGAAUAUACAACAUUGCUUUAUUGACAUACCUUGUCAAGUGGUGAAAACUGUAAGUAUAAUGUCCUCACUGAAGAAGAUUGAACCAGUGAAUUAUUCUAUUAGUAGAGUACGUAAUUUUUGUACGGAUAAAGCACGUAUUUGAUUUCCUAUGCUUGAAAUCACAUUUUAAAAUACUAAUAUUGCAAUACAGCCAGUAGGUGGCGAUAGCCAUUUAAUUUAUUAAACUAUGGCAGCUCCCCAGCUCACGCUCUCGUGUUGGUACUCACGUUACCUUUGAGCCUUACAAAAAAAGAAAUUAAAAAAAUCACUCUUGAAGAGUCUUUCUGAGUGUACUCUCAACUUUAUAGUUGAAGGAUUUGCUGUGCAGGGAAAUGCAACAGCAUUUGUCGGAGCAGUGUCAGAGUCAUGUCAAUUUAAGCUCCAGUUUCCUGUUCUUCUAUAUAUUGACAGUAUUAGCUUAUUAUGAAUUUUUCCUUACAUUAUAUAUAUGUUUAUGAUGUAUUCUUUAGCAACUAGGAACAAAUGUUCCCAAGGCCUUUUUUUUCUGUGGCAUGUAUAUAUGCCUUUGUACUUAGACUGAGGGAGCCACUUGAAAGCUGUAGAUUGUAUGCAGAUACCCACUGGUAGUAUAGGUGCAAUAUCAUAUAAGAUAAAAAAUUAGAUUUAUUUUCUCUGAAUGAUACAGAAUGUUAUUAUUGGUAGGAUAUGAAGAAGAAAAGGCUUGUGUAUAGUUCUUAAAAGUGUUUAGAGUACAAUAGCAGUGAUAGUUGGGAGUCUGUUUAGGACAAAGCCAUGAGGGGUUUUCUCAGAUUAGUGAGACAUUACUCUUAUAAAAUGUUAUGCAAUGCUAUUUUGAUUAACUGUGUGUUAAAAAAAUCUAGUCCUUGACUUGUCAAUAGAUUGGUUUUGUUUUCUGCAAAUAGACAUCAGGUGGCUCUGCUGCUUGAACCAAAUGUUCAGCUUUAUCUUCAGCCAGAAAUUUAAUAUGAAAUGAGAGUGAAAGAGAACGUCCAUGAAAGAAGAGGAUAAACAGGAGGCAGAUGGUCCAUGUGUGUAACUUGCAUUGCCAAAUAGUGGAUUAAGAUGAUCUUUUUGAAUGCUACUUCACAACCUUAGAGCAACUGAGAGAAGUUAGGUUUCCAUUAGCUAUUGAAUGAGAAAAUUUAUUCCAGUCUUCAUAAGAACAUCUCCCAUUUCCUGAACUAGAGGAGAAGAUGCUAAUCUAAAGAGUGACCUAGAAGCAGUGUAAGUAGAGGGAAGCACAAAAGUGCCAUCUCCCUGCAUGGUUCUAUCAAACCCAUUUACCAUACUGAUCAGAGACUGAGUCAGAGCUAGAAAGCAGAUGAAAUUCACAGGAAAACCAUUUGAGCAGUCAAUAAUUUUGCAGUUCGCAACAAUGCAUUAGAACUGUUUCUUCAGCCACAGUGUUGUAGGAUGGUUCCCCUGACUGGAGGGCUAUGAUGAAUUGUGCUCUGUAUAACAAAGCAGCUCAGAUGCAAGGAGCUUUGCUAUGAAAAGGACAAGUCUGUCAGCAGUUUAUGGGAUCAGAAGGGAGGCCAUGAAGCAGACAUAGUGAUAGGAUUCUGCUACUGGUUGCCCAGACAAGAAGAGCAUAGCCUUCCUUAAACAACUGGAAUAAGUCCCAUAGGCCCUGCUUCUCAAAUGGAGUCUUGAAUCAUUCUGACAUCUGCUGGAUGGACAUCACAUCAGGGAACAGGUAGCUGAUGAGAUUUCUGGAGUACAUGGGGGACAAUUUUGUGGUUCACUUAGGUAGACUGACUAGAAGGGCUCCACUGACCUGACCUUCUGAAUAUGUAAGAGCUGGUACAGAAUGAGAAAGCUUGACAGCAGACUUGGCUACAGUGACCAUAAAAAGAUGUUAAAGGAAUUAAGGAAAGGGAAUAGUAGUCUGACAGCUUAGGACUUUGUGGGCUUUUUCGGGGAAUUAGCAGGAAGGAUCUCAUGAGAGGUUGAAGGGCAAAUAUGCCCAGGAGAACUGGCUAGACAUCAAGGAUAUUCUAUUUAAAUCAGAAUAAAGAAAGAAAGAAAGAGAGAGAGAGAGAGAGAGAGAAAGAAAGAAAGAAUGGAAAAGCAAAAGAUAGCCUAAGCGUAGAAAAGAAAUGGAUAGAAGCUAGUAGCUGGAAGCAGGGUCAAGCCACCUGUAAGAAAUUAGGAAGUAUCACCUGGGUAUACAAUGAGGACCUCGAAUGGGAUAGGCAGUCUUGUACCAAAGGAUACAAACAAGUUCAGUGUCAUCAUUGCCUUGGUUUUUACUAGCAAGCUCUCCUCUCAGAUUUAUCAGGCUCCUUUUGUUCAGUAGCAAAACUUGAGAGAAAGAGGUAUUACAAAUGGUAAAGGACAAUCAAGUUAGAAACUACUUAAACUGGAAGUACUGAAGGUGAUAGGCCUGGAUGGGAUUAAUGCAUUUCAAGGUGCUGAGGAAGUUGGCAGAUGUCAUUACCAGGUACCUCUCUUUUAUCAUCCAAACGUUAUGGUGAACACAGCUGUUGGAUGAGUUGAGAAAGAGAAAUGUCAUGCUCGUCUUCAGAAGUGGUAGAAGAGAUCUGGAAACCAAGGGGUGGUGAGCCUUACCUCAGCCUGUUAGAAUCAUAGAAUCAUAGAAUCGCUCAGGUUGGAAAAGAUGUUAAAGAUCAUCAAGUCCAACCACAACCUGACCAUAUUACCCUAACUCUAACAACCCUCCACUAAAUCAUGUCCCUGAGCACAACGUCCAAAUGGUUUUUGUAAACCUUUUCCAGUCACAUAAAGAGAAGAAAGGUAAAUGGAAAGUGCUAGUGUGGAUUUACUGUGCCUGGCAAUCCUGAUUACUUUCCAUGGUGAGAUGAUUGGUUCUAUGGAUAAGAGUAGUGCCUGUAGAUUACCUUGAUUCUAGCUAGAUCUUUGUUCUAGUUUGUUAGAAAUUCUUAUAGACAAACAGAAGAGGUAUGAACUGGACGGCUAGACUACGAAGCUAGUGAUAAACUGGCUGGAUUGUUUGGUUUGAGGUGUAGAGGUCAGUACUUAAAAGUUUAAAUGACAACCAGUUGAAGAUGCAUCCCUCAAGUGUUGAUGCUAGAGAAAUUGUUUUUUAACAUCUUCAUCAACAAUCUUGCUGAUGGGGUAGGAUUUUGCUUUCAUGAACAACACCAAACUGGAGUGAGCAAUUAAUACCCUGCAGGGCUGGGCUGUCACUUGGAGGAACUUUGACAGCUAGAGAAAUGGGGCUGGUAGAGACAUCAUGAAUAUAAACAAAGUCCUGCACCUGUGAUGGAGUUAUGUCAUGCAUCCACCGGGAUAACAGCUCUGCAGGAAGGCACGCUACAGGCAAGUUGAACACAAGGGAGCUUUGUACCCUUAGGUGAUGAAGACCAACCAUCUAUUGGGCUAAGGUAGUAAAAGUAUAUCAAUCAAGCUAAAGGUAGUGAUUAUUCAUGUUUCAUGUUUGACACCACAUUUGAAAUACCUUUCCUAGCUUCAGGUUCCUUGGUACCAGCAAGAUAUUGAUUGACAAAGCGUGAACAUACGCAUGAAAAACUGAUGAGCAGAUAAACUGAUUGUUUUGUCUGGAUAAGGGUAAGGGUCAAUGAGUCUAACUGCUAUCUGAGGAGGCUUAGGAAACUCCAUGCCAGAGGACUUUUUGAAACAACAUAUUUAACUUGAAGUUGGCUCUACUUUGAGUAGGAGAGGGCACUUGGUGAUCUUCAGAGGUCCCUUUCAAUACAUUUUCUUCUGUGAGUGAAUGAUUAUCUUAACAUGAGGCCUUAAUGCGAUUACUGGCAAGCUAGAUAUGUUUCAUAGAAAUCAUUAAAAUUAAAAAAAAAAAAAAAGUGUAAUUCUUCAUCAAAGUCUCCAGGUAAUGAAGACAGUGAGCAGUCUGCAUUUAUUAAUCAUGCUUACCUAUAGCCAAAGCAGAAAAUAUUUCAAAUAUCUAUCAGUGCCCUGAGCACACUAAUGGCUUGAGGGUACUAAUGCCCUGUCCCUGUCCACUGCUGAGGCUCCCUCACAUGGCCAGGAUCACCACGUCAUCCCAGUGCCACUCACCCCUGCCCCAGUAAGGCAGCAGGGAUGGGCUCCAGCUCCCCACAACCCUGCCCUGCCUGACCAUAGUCUGAUGCAGUUUCCGAAGGGCCGUGAAGGUUGCCAUGAGCACCAAGAGUACUUUUUUGUUGUUGGAAUUUUAUUUUAUUUUUUACUUCUGCUGUUGUGGCUAUUUGAGUUUAUGUCAAUAGUUUAAAUGCAUGGUGGAGUAAGAAGUUGAACAUGGCUCUCCCGUGCCCUUUCUGAAGGUUUUAAACACUGAGCUGUAAAAUCAUUACGAAGGGAAAAGUAAAAUUAGUAUGCAAAGUUUCUUUCUCAGGACUAUACACAGUGAUUAUAUCCCUUUUACAUACUGCUAACACAGAGCUCAUAUGUAUACCAACGCUGUGGUAGAAAUUUGUCUUUGAUUGCGUUAAUUUCUUUUCAUUGAAAACUUUGGGCGUUUCUCAGAGAGAAAAACAUCUCAAAUAUAUUUAUGAGCUGGGGAUUUUCUUUCCCAGGCGGUUUGCCUUGCAGAAAAGAUGAUCUCAUUUGCUGAGCCAUGCUGCCAGCAUUCUUCCUUUUCAUGAAAGGAAAUUAUGGCUCCUGUGAAAGUGUCACAAAUGACACGGAGGGUUGGCAGCACAGAAUCAUUAUUGCUUGUUGAGUAAACAUUUUCAAGCAGAGAAUAAAUAAAUCCUCAUCAUAACUGAGGAUUUGGAGAGGGGUAAUAGAGAACUGUAUUAGGACAUUGUUAGCAUUUAAAUGUGCCUGUUACCAAGCUAUAGCAAAAUUAACUACCGUGACUACCAUUACACUGUCUUGCAACACUUGUCUUGUGCCCCCUCCCCGGCGCUCCUUGGCCCCCUAAUUUUUCCCACAGAGCUGGGUGGUGUUUCCCACCCGGCCUUUGCCCCCAGCAGCAAAGAGAGGCAUCUCUGUCUGCUGACUGAGCUCCCCAUAGCCCCUUCCAAACUUGCAGGGAAUUUCUCUGCACAAAGGGUGGCUCAGAGCUGGCAGGUGUGGGGUGCGGGUGGCUAGGAAUGGGGGGAAUGUGAUUAUGUGUCAGGGAGGUGCAGGAGGGGAAGGCUUCUCUUCUGCUGUGUGCUACAGGCUUCAUCACGUGCUGCUGACCUCAGCACAAGAUCAGCUCACAAUGUAAAGACCCCUACCUGUCUCAUUUUCAAAAGGUUUUAUUGAGUUUUACUACUCUGAUGGUAUUGGGUAUAUGUAAAUUUUAUAGAAGAGUCACAUGGUGACUCCUACAAUUGAAGUGACUUUUCUUUUAUUGUUCUUUUAUUUUCUGCCCAAAUGAACACGUUAUUUGGGAGUGUGCUAGUGACUGGUAUCUCUGACAGUAUGACAGUGAACUACUUGCCUGACCUUAAAACAGCGACUGCAUUAUGUUGGUACAAGUUCCUGCUAUACUGUUAGUGGUUUGCAUGCUUGAAUUCACACUUUGCAAGGCUUUGAAGAAGUGGCAGUUCACACAAGAUUGUAGGGGAUGAAAGAUGACCUUUAAAAGUCUCAGUGAAGCAGCACAGCAUACUUUCUAACUAGAAUGGAUGUUCAUACAGGCUGAUGACCUGGAGGUGAGAGCACAGAUUUUGUCUUGGGUGCUGGCUAGCAGAAAGAUCUUAGUGCAUGAGCUUUUUAUUUAGGAAUUCAUUUUUCUAGGGGGUCCUUAGGAAUGGAACAUCACUCUCCUUAAGGCGUGUCUGAAACUGCAGCUGUUCAUCCAGUUUAUUGCACUUCCGGAGGCCGAAAGUUUGCUUUUUGUAGCUUAGAAAACCUCUUUGUAGGUUUUCUAUGUCCGGCAGUUGACUGAUGGUCAUCGUUUUCUCCAUUGUCCCAUUAAUGCUCAAAGGCUUUAAUUUGGAGAUAUUUUAUUUUUUUAUUAUUUUAUCUUUAUAAGGAAAAACAAUGAUAGAGAGCUCAAGGCUGUACAUGUCUUUCUAAACUCAGUAGGACCAGUUUUCUGAACUCUAGCUCUGUCACCAAGAUCAUGGGCAGACUCUGGUCCAAAUUUCUUACAGCCAGCUCCCUCUAAAGCAUGUGUCCUGGAUUCAGGAAGAUGGAGUGUUGCAAACCAAAGCAGAGGAGGAGGCUGCCAUCUAAGCAGUGUGAAGUCCACUGCAUGAGCCUGCUCAUGGUUGUUUUUGUGUUGCUGUCUUUUUUAGUAUUUAUUUUUUUACAUAGCAGUGUCAACAGACCUUGAGAAAACAGACAAAAUACAUAUCACUUUUAUUCUGCCAAUACAUACAGAAUGCCACCUCUGGAUGUAUUUGUACUACUUUCAAGGCAGUGUACCUAGUAGAUGUCAAUACAAGCUCAGUUGGACUAUCCAUAAGAAAUGAUUAUUGUAUAAUUGUAGUAUUUUACACUGAAGGACUGGAGUGAUGGCUGCACUCAGUUUUUGAUAAAUGAAAACCUGCUGCACUAAAUGAGACGGUUAAUUCACCAAAGCAUGUUUACUGUGGAAUUCACACCCAACUGCAGCAUAUGUAUGUUACUAUUACAUAAUGAAUAAAUUAUUAUGAGCUGCGACCCCCAGAGGCAUCCAGGUGCCUGAGUGUCUCCCCUCCAGUGAGUGAACUGCAGCCACUUUGACUGGUGGUAGCUGGUGCUUAGCAUACCCAGCUCAGAAGUAAGUCUCCAGGCAUCCAUAAGAGGCUUUCCAGUAAACAAGAUAGCCCCUCUAAUGAUGAAUGAGUUCUUCUUUAUUCUUAUGGCUUGAGGUAUUUAUCUUCUUGCAUCAUUUUCUGAUUUCCAGUGCUAUAGUAAGACUGCUGUAAUUUGCAAUGUAAGAGUAGUGUGAAGCUCAGUUUGUUCUGUUUAAUAUAGUGUGUGGACUGAAAUUCAAGUAGAUAGCAAUAUUUCAAAGCAAAUAAAUACAUCUGUGUAAGUCAAGACAAAUGCUAAAGCAUAAUCAGUCUCAAAGUGAAGUAUAAUUUGACCAGUGAAUGAAUUCACCAAGCUGCUAGCAGUGAAGAAAUUGGAGUUCCUUGGCACACGAAAGAAGUUUAUUGCCUAGAGAUGAUAGUGCUUGUCUCCCUGUGGACUUGUGGGGUAAAGCCUCACAUCAGCCUCACAUAUGCUAAUAAAGAUCAAUAUUUCUUAUUUUCUCUUCUCAUAGUAAGGAAAUUAAUCCAUGGUGUUACUUUAGAAAAAUAACCCAAGUGGUAGAUUUGGGCAGAGAAAUUCUUACCUACACCUCAGUUUUAUUCCACAGGAAGCCUAGUGAUUACUGCUUUGCUAAUGCAUGAGCUUAUUUGGAAAAGCAGCUUUGAGCAUGCAUAUGAAAUGGUAGCCACCCUUUGCCACUGCAUGGGCCAUUCUACUCUCAGCCCUUUGUUUUAGUAAAUAUGUUCCCAGUGGGGCAAAAUUCUUGCCAAGCCUCUUAGAAGGUGUCCUUAUACCCAUACUUCAGUUUUCCACAUAGACUUUUUUUUUUUUCUUUUUCCCCUCAACUGUUUGUUGUUAAUACAGCUUCAGGUUUCCAUUAGUACAAUAUUUGAGUGUCUCAGUCUAAAGUGUGUUUAUUUUUUCAGGUCCACGUGAAACAGGGAAGGCUCUCUGAUAUUUCUUUUCAGGUCAUACUUUGGUGGGGAGAGAAUAGAAACACAGAGAAGCUCAGAUUCUACAAUACAGUGAGGUGCCAGACUCCUACGUGUCAGAAAUUCCUCCAUGUGUUGGAGGGUCUGAGCAUGGCUUGGUUCACAUCACAAAGCAAGUAUGUGGCAGACUGGGGAAUGCAGACAAUGAAUUGGCCUGCUGUGCCUCCAGUGAAAAUGGGCUUGGAGGGCACGCAUUUAAUGACCGUCCAGAAACAAGAAGCAAAGGCAGUGAGCAGGAGGGUUUGGAAAAGAGUGGUGCAUUUCUUACGUAGGGUCUUUACUGGAUCAAACUAAGGUGUGGCUGUACCUGUCAGCAUGAAUUGUUACUGCACUCGGAAGAGGCUGUUCAUUGGAAGAUACUCAAAUUAAAAACAGAGUCCUGUAUUUUCAAGAACUGCAGGGCAAAGGGAAAGAAUAUUCAUACCAAACAUUUUUAACAUACAUAUAUUGGUAUUAUUGGCCCUAGCUCCUGACUCAGUGACAAAAGCAUAUGUGCAUAAAGUGAUUUCUUUGAGGUAAAGGUCAUUGUUCAGUCUGCGCAUGCUGAAUGUCUUGUGUUAACCUUCUCUUUAAGCAUAAGAGCAGACCUGCCACAGUCUCCAUACAUCUUGCCUUUCCUUUUGAAUCACAAAGGAUUCACUUCACUUAUAACAGCCCGACUAAACGUGGUGCAAUUCCAACACUACAAUAUAUAUAUGUAUAUAUAUAUAAAAGAUGUAUCAAGUUUUUAAAAGAAACUUCUGGAAGCUUAAACAUAGGAAUGAAGGAAUGAAGACUCAGGGCUUUGUGCAAAGCCCCGGGGACAGCCUGCGACUUUGCUGGAACAAAAGUUUCACUAUAAAUACAUUGCGAAAAGCAAACAUAAUGUAGAUAGGUUCAUUGUAUUUCUCUUGCACCUUCUCGCUUUUGUUUAAGUUUAAACCAAUCUUUUGGAACUAUGAGUCAUUUUCAGAACAGAGAGUGAUUCAGGAGAUGUAAUCUUUGUGUUUUAUAGGCCAACAUCAUUAGAUAGGCCCUAUGCAAAUUAACAGAAGCGUUGCUGAACAGCAGUGACUGGCUUACCAUGUAUUUAUGGUUGCUUCUAACUCUCAGCCAGAAAACAUAAAUGUCUCUCUGGUGGAAACGUGUUUGGUGAGCAAUAACCCUCUCAGUUGGAGAAGAUCCAUCUGUCUUUCCUUCUACUUCAUGCAUCUUCACCACUGAAAAGAAGUUCAAGGAAAAUCAAGUUUCAGUUGUCAAAAAACCUGAUGCUUAAGAAUGAUUCUGUGAAAUAGACCAAAAAAAAGCAGCUGAAUAUUUUGUGGCUUAAUUUCAAGAUUCCCAUCGGUGCUAUAAAAAUACAAUUGAGUUUUAACUACUGCCUUCAUGCUAUCAAGAUGAUCCUGUAAAACUUAACUAUUUUGGUGUUUGCUAUUAUCUGAUUCUUUAGCAUGAAGUGGAAAGCAAAAGUAUUUUCCAAGAUUAUAUUAAUAUUUUCUUUCAGUUACAAGCUACAUCAAUUAAUUUCUUUAUAAACUCUACUAUAACAAGUUCCCACUGAUUCUUGGUUACUAUAAACAACAUCUGGGUACUGCACUGGUGCACAAGUUCUGUAAACACAUACUUUUAUAUCCAUCACAUCCUGAUGUUUCACAAGGAUAAAGCUGAUGUUCCCCUAAAAAAUAGAGAAGGCAGAUGCCUGUAGUGAUUUCACCGAAGUUACAACGUGAAGCAUGUGUGAUGUUAGGUACUUUACAGUACUUCUAAAGGGAGAAAGAAUGUGGCCGCAGAAAGGGAAUCCUGCCCGCAUGUUUGAUUCUUGAAAUGCACGUUAAAAGAUUUUUAUAUAUAAUAAAAGGCAAACAGUAAUAGAACCCCGCAGAUGGAGACAACUGUAGCACAGAGAGUGAAAAAUGUCUCACCGUCGGGCAGUGGCAGAACCAGCAAUGAAACACAAACCUCUUGCUCUGCUGGUUUACUCUCCAACUAAUUCACAUAAUAGGGGGUAGGGCUCUUUGCAGUGCUUCAGGCUGAUGGAGGUUACGCCUACAUAAAGUCCACACUUUUACCCUUGUACAAAGCCCCAAGCCCCUUUUACUUGCUUUUGGAGCCCUCCCAGAGACCCUGUAGCUCAGAGGGGAUCUGAGUGUGGGUCAAACAGCAGAUAACAGCUGAGAAGGGUUUUAAGAAAAGGUUUCUGGCUGCUUCUUGGCUGUUUGCUUCCCGGCUGAGGAGGGAGCCCAUCUGUGCAAGCCUUCCUCCUUCAUUUCAGUGCUGGCAGCGAGCUGCAGUCUCUGCUUAGGAGCAGUGCCACGAGCUGUGCCUUCCAGGAACAGGAGAGGAUGCAGCGUGCCCGUGUGGGUGUGUGGUGCACCCUUUGGGCCCCAGACGCAGGGACAAGACAAGCACAAAAGGGAGAGUAGGAAAAUGGAAUAUGCACAACUGGUUUAAUGCCAUGGGUUGUACACGUUUCUGAGACCAGCGUUUGCACUCAUUACGUGAUGUGCUUUCUCUUUAAUGGAAUUCUCUUAGACGUGCUGCUGAUAGGCUCUCUUCCCAUCUCUCCUUGAAUUCAAACAUUAUGGCUGAUUGAAAAAUAAGCAUGCAUUUUUCUGCUUUUUUCUUCUUUCGGUGUUUUUUUUUGGUCAGGUGGAAACAAUGAGGUGAACUCAUUUGUGACAGGCCCUUCUUCAGGCCUCUCCAACGUGGUCUGUAAUGAGGGCACAGUGGAAAUUCCACAAAGAAGCCCAGAAGCUUUUAAGUUUGGGCAACCGUGUUGUUGUCUGUGUUUUAUUCGCAUCAAUCAGGUUUUUUUCACACCCAUCUUAGCUUCUUAUUGGUACCACAAGUCAACGCUUGCUGGAAAACGCCACCCUUGGAAAACAACCUGUAACGUACGACUGCUGUCUCUUCGUGUAUUUUCUGCUCAGAUCUUAACAUGCGCUUCCUCUGAAGGCCACCAGCGAUAAUAUUCACUCCCUCUCCAGAACCACGUGAGUAAAUACCUCCUCACGCAGGUGAGGAUUGGGCUGGGCACAAACAAGAGGAGGAUGCCAAGUAAACACAGGACUGCUGGGCAGCUUUGGUGGAUCCCAGUGCUAUUGUCUGGGUAAUUCAGGGGAAGGUUUCACUAAAAUGGUGUCCUUGUCACGCGAAGCACGGAAAACAGCUUCCCCGCUCCGGCUAGCAGUGGUCCGUGAGUAACUUGCCUGCAUGACGGCCGCCGGCCAGCAGGGGGCGCCUGCUUCGUGCAGCCCCUGGGCUGUUUAAUGCCUGGGGCCUCCGUGCACGAACGAGGUCGUUGCUGCCCGCGAGAGGCUGUGUAGCGAGGCCCCGCCCAGGUGCUAGGGCAGCCUUGCAGGGUGAAUGCCUUCCUUAGCGGUGAAGGCAGCUGGAAGUUUGCUGAUGGACAGUGUGAGCUGACCACUCCUCUUGCGAGGUCACACCCCCUGCAGGAUGCUUAGACCAAGUCAGGACUCAGCAGGGGCUUUCAGUCAUCCCACUGGCUGUAGGUGUUAAGGUUUUGCAUUUGCUUUCAAAGCAACCAGAAGUAAUGGUGUUUUUUGUUUGUUUGUUUGUUUGUUUGUUUGUUUCGUUGCACAUCUCCCCACUUGCUUGGGAGGAUCUGCCCGGAAAAUGGGGAGCUGCAGCCCCCGGGGAAUAGCCAUGCUGUUGAUGGGAGGCUGGGGACAAUGGUGAGACUGUUCCACUGUAGGAAAGGCAGCUGAAGGCUCAGACAAGAGGAGCACGCGGGAACAGGCUUUGUGGCUCAGGCUCUGCAUGAAAGCGCUUAGCACAGGACAGGGAGCACAGUUUCAGUCCCAGGUGUCUACCUGUCUUUGGUUAUUCAAUGCAUAGUGGUUAUUAAAAUGAAGAAAUCAGAAUUCCUGAUCCAGCUUGUUCUUAUUUUUCCCUCUCUCUCUCUCUCUCUCUCUCUCUUUUUUUUUAAUGAAACAGAAGUCUGAUUGUGGUGCCAUCCAUGUAACAGAAUGCUGUUGGUGUGUGCUGGUGUUCUCUGUUCAUGCACGUAAACCUGGGACUCCCAGGGAACUUAAGAAGCAUGAGCCUUGUUUGUGAAUCUCCAGAUGGGGGCAGACAUUGAGAUGCACGGCUAGAAUAUUAGGCUGGGAUUGAUUACCCCAGUUCAGCUGUCAGGGAGCAGAAAGAAUUAAACCAAAGUCUCCUGGAUCCCAGGAAAAUGGCAUUACCGAUACCUCAACAUUUGGAGCAUCACUCAACAGUGAGCCCUGUGGCUGACAGUGGAGAGCCCAGUUCUGCCAGAGUGCUGGAGAACAUCUACUGGGAAAUUCAGACCACCUGGGGAGGUAGCUCAGCAAGCAAGGAGCUCAAAUCACAGUCCCUGAGGGAGUUCAUGAGGCAGUGGAGGAGGUGAAAAUAACCUCUAUAUUUGAAUACUACGAAAGUCAAGACAUCACAAAGAAGGAACAUCAGUCUAAACACUGAAUAUCCUGGCUUUCAUUGUUUAUAAAAAGAAAAUAGGAUCAAAACAUUAUUUAUUUAUUUAUUUUCCCUCGGAGAUACAGCAGCAGCUUUGAUUUCCUUAAUUACACCCAGCAUGCUGGAAAGGUCAUAGUCCAAUUUUGGUUAGUAUUCAGGAAGCAGAGGGAAUAACUUGGAGCUUUUUUUCACCUGCUUUCACAAUCCAGCAAGGCUUCCUUCUUUCUUUUACCAGAACAGCUACAUCCUCCUGAGGUUUGGCCAGCAUGCAACUAGUCAGUCAACAGGAAAUUAUAUGCAGUUUAAUUUUUCAUCCUUUGUGAUAACAAAAGUGCCUGAAGAUUUGUAAUCCGAAGGCAAUCUCCCCCCCUCCCUUGCUGAGACAAAAUGGAGUGUUUAACGCUGUUUCUGCAUGUGUUUUAUUUACAAAUAAACAGAACCAGGUUAAACUUUGUUGAACUUAUGUUGUUUGCUUUUCCACUCUAUAUGCAUGGGAAAGCCUGAGCACAGCUCAAAAAUAAAACUGCAGCAGACAUUUUAGAGAUAACCUCCCCAUAUCCUAGGGACCACUGGAGAUCUGCAAGAUGAGAAACUGCUGAUCCUGCAGUACAUUGCAACACUGUCCUUGGGAGCCAAUGAAAGACAGGCUGCAAAGAUGCUAACCCUUUUGGCCUUAAUCCAGCAACAUAUUUAAGCAUGUGCUUAACAUUAAACACCUGAGUUGCCCUGUGGGCUUCAGAUGGAUUACCCAUGGAUGGCAGCCAAAGCACUCAGCACCAAGCUGAGCCUUUCAGGGGGAAGAGUAUGGAGAAAGUUCAUCUUCUCAGUGGUGACGAGUAAGUGCUGAAGAUGCUUUGGUGCCAUUUGCUAAUUGCUGGCCUGAUUUAUUGUCUCCUGCAGCCAAGGGAAGGAUCCUUUUGGUCUUAAUGUAAUUAAGCAUGAUUAGCUAGCUAAAGCUGUGGCUUUUCAGACUUUUCAAGUGAAAUUCUGUUGUUAGCUGAUAUAGAUCUGGAUCAUUCUGCUGUUUCACCAAUUUGUCCAAUUUUCCCUUCCCCAACUUAUCAAUGGGUAAUGGAUGUUACCAAUGGACACUCUCUCUGUAGGCUUACCAGAGGCAUUGUUGUAUUAAAACACACUCAUCAACGUAAUUUCUUUUCUUGUUUUGAUUUCCUCAGUUCCGCUGAAACAAUAUACCCAGCUUUGAAUAGCAGUGUGUUUGUAAACACUCUUUCAGAGUGCUGUUAGGAGUAGUUCAUAGUUCAGUAGAAUCCUCCUUGCAUCUGGUUCUUCUUCUCAGGAUGUGACCGCAAAUGCGAUUCAC
ensembl:lncRNA